rnacentral:rRNA from 1 species
CACGUAGGGCGCGAGCGUUGUCCGGAAUUAUUGGGCGUAAAGAGCUCGUAGGCGGCCUGUUGCGUCCGCUGUGAAAGCCCGGGGCUUAACCCCGGGUCGGCAGUGGAUACGGGCAGGCUAGAGGUAGGUAGGGGAGAAUGGAAUUCCCGGUGUAGCGGUGAAAUGCGUAGAGAUCAGGAGGAACACCCGUGGCGAAGGCGGCGCCCUGGUCCGUUACUGACGCUGAGACGCGAAAGCGCGGGGAGCGAACGGG